GAGUCGGUGUCCCGGCAACAGACCUCCUCAUUAGCAGUGUAUAGCAGCCGUGCAGACUUGGGUGAUCGAUCAUUUUCCUUUUUCUGGUGCGUUCAAAGGCGGUUCUUGGUGAGCGGUUAUGUAGAACCGACUUCGCUGCGGGUGAAAAUCAAAAAGCGCUGAUCAUUGCCAAGUGGCUUCAAAAUCCUCAGCGGGGAUUUGUAAAGCUUCUACUCAACACAACAAAAUGGCCUCUCUGAGUACGUGCAGGAUGGACGUUAAUUGACGUGCCUGACCUUGCACCGUGCUGCCAACCAACUUGAAACCAUUGCACUGCUUUGCCCUUAAAAAACAAAUCAUUGGAUGUUACAAAAAAAAGGUUUGCCUUAAACCCUAAAUCAUGUUAUUUAUUAGCAGUCACAGGCUAGUAUGGGACAAUCACUUCAUGUAUGCCGUUAAAAAGUAAACAGAAUCCAUCAUCUGUUAUGCUAAUCACGGCAGAUUACAAGUAGAUAUGGGUUGUUUGCCCCGUGCAAACUGCAAACAAGUGACGGGCGUUAGGACAGCAGAAGCAGAUGAACACACGCUGACGCCAGAGGGCAGCCGGAUGAAUCAUUCCUUCGCUCAAAAGAAAAACAACAAACAUUUCACAAGACAAACUGCGACGUUGUAUACUAGCGCUCCGCUCCAGACCAUGCUGCCAUAUUGGAAGGCAAGACACAAUUGACUGUAAAACCAAAUGGCAUUUUUGCGGAGCUUAUUUUUCUUUUGAUGUCUUUUUUAUUACUCACAAUUUACCAUCCCGACUGUUGGCAAUCAAAUUCUUUUCAACUGGAUUUCUGUUGGUCGGUUUGUCGGAAGGAAUACACGGAACCCGUUUUGAAUUCUUUUCAAUGACAAAAGAAUUUCUAAAGAGCUUUCCAGCAUGACGACGGUUUUGGAGGGCAACAGGCAGUCCGCUGCAAUGUGUUCUUGCGUGAUUUCGACCUGGCAAAGCUGUGAGCGCCGCACGACCAAGCCAGUAAAAUACACUUUGGAACGAAUCGCAUCGCAAAUUCCAACGGAGUGACGACUGAGCAACUCCAGAAAAGACUCCAACAGUGGCUCAUCAAUCAAUAGUCAUUGAUUUUCUCUGCUCAUUAUGCUCUUGUUGAAGAUGUUUCGUGGAAUUUUGGUGAGUACUUUUAUUGGCUAAAUUGCCGAGACGCGCGUUCGCCCAAAUACUCGAAAUCCAUUUUUCCGUGCCGCCAACUACGGAUGUGGCGGUUGCUGACAGCCGACCAAAGAGUUGGUACCUUGAAGACAGAAGUACAUGAUGAUUACUUUUAGCUUUGAAUUAUUAUUGUUUUGAAUAUAGUUUACCAAACCAGACCAAAAAAACAACAGCAAACUUAAGUUUCAACAAGUCUGACAUGAAAUACCUCGCUCGCCACAAAGGAUUUUUGAUCACGCCGGAUGAUGGACUCGCCAUUAUUCUUAUUGGCAGCAAGGCUGGUUGUUUGACUUUGUAGCAUUUGUUGUCAUCUCUGGCCUGGUGGAGCCACGCUGCAAACACCCGCUCAAAGCCUCUUGGUCGUGACUGACAUGAUCACGGUGGAGGGUUCGAUCCACUUGGAGGGCUCUUGUGAUUCUCUCCUGUCAGCUAGCAUCACCCUCCUCAUCAUCAGACAGGAGUUUUGCAUUAGUCGCGGAGCUGGGCACCCGGGCUUACGUCUCAGAAAGUAGCCGCUUGUCGGAGGAGGGCUCUUUGACUGUUAAUUAGCAUACUGAGCCUUUUGGAAAACACGCUGUAAACGUUCACUUCUUGGGACAGUUGAGCAAAGAUGACGCUUUUCCUCAACUCUCUGGGAGACAUUUAUCUUGUAAUCAUCGGAGACGCUCUGCAUUUUGCAGCAUCAUUGCUGACUGUGCCUCAAGGAACAAUAUAGCAGAGUUAAUCCUGUCAGCAAAGCCGCUGUUUUUCCCUCCACGUUGUAUCGGAGUCCAUCCGCAGAACCCAACGCAAUUGCGAACGCAUCCUCUAUUGCGAUUUGUCCGAUGGAGCCGAUCCACUCGAUCACCCCAAACGAAGCACAUCCAUCUGUAAGUCUCACGGCAAAUAUCCCCUUCCUCCUAAACAAAUCUGCUGCCUUUGACACAUUGGCUGCACGCUGGACAAUAAAUCCGCUUGCUAGAUUUCCGCCACCGCAGACAUUUCCAGCGAGAAGACAGAGGGCGGCUCCGUAUGUCUCAACAGCUGAAGAAAGCGGCUGAGAAAAGUCAUUUCCUUGCAGUCGCACUCUUGAGCCCAGGCAGUCAUCGCUUCGCGAGUCCUGAAGUGUGCAAACUUGAGGAGGAUGGCUGGGGGGUUAGAACAUAUGAGUGUGCACUACAUCAAAUUAGAGCGGAAUAUGUGACUGCGGGCCAGAGGAACUCU